rnacentral:lncRNA from 1 species
CGUUUUUUUAAACCCUAAAAAUCGUUUUCUUCUGCAUCCUCCUUCUGCUUAAAGCCUCCAUAAUCAAAUUGAUAUCAGUCACUAAAGAUCUUACUAUCUAGGAGCCUCCAAAGCGCUUCAAUCGACCAAGGAUAUGAUCUCUUAAACAUAUAAUUAUGCUGAUGGAAGAAUGAGAGGCUGCAAAGAGAUAUUAAAAACACAAAUCUUUUUGGAUAUGACUGGACCGAGGAUAUAAGACAGCAUAUAUAAGAUGGCUUUUUGAUGUUGCUUUUAUAUUUUCAUAUUGGUUAUCUUGGCUUUUUAAGAACAUACUUUUGCUAAAGUUAGAGGAAGAACCCUACAUUCUAAAUCUGUUCAUCCGCUAAUUCUUUCACAACGAUUCUUCAAUCGGCUUCACAGGUAUGUUUUUUGUGUUUCCCUCUUUUUAUCAUGUUUUUAAACUACAAUCAUUUAAUUUUGUAUUUGUUGUUUCUUGAAUCAUGUACAUAUUCAAAACUCUAAAUUGAUUGUUCUUUUGAAGAUCGCCCCUUUGUUUAAUCGAUUUUAGAUUUCAGCAAGCACAUUUUCAUCCCUAAAUUAAUCAUAUACAUUAGACUUUAUUUUGUAAGCAUCUGAAAUAUGAAUUGUUUUCUGGCUUAAUCGAUUAUGGGUUAGUGGGUGUUCGGAUAGAAUUGAUGAAACUUUAAGGAUUAUAAAAGAUUCAUGUGGAUUAGAAUAUUGAAACUUUUUUAGCUGCAGCUUCAAAUAUAUGAUGCUUUUUUGAACAGUGAGAUUGUUCUUUCAGCAUUUGAUGGUUCAACUUUGGUUGCUUAAAAGUUGGUAUAAUUGACAAUUCAUGCGAAGAAACAUGAUUCACAUCAUGUAAUUUCAUCAUUAGUUUGAAGUUUGAACUUAAAACCUAAUGUUGAUUUAGGUACACAUGGAAAAACUACGACUAUAAUUGGAAAAUGGGACGAAAGCAUGCAUUUUCUUAAUAAAGACUGUUUUGAAAAAGGAAAACGUGACCCGUUUCAGAUUUCAUUUGUUGUGGAGAAACAGAACACCUCCAAAGUUCCCCACAAGAUAUAUUCUAACUCACUUUGUGUAAGACCCUAACACAUUUUAACCACAAAGGCGCAACGGAAAUACGAAGUAUAAAAUUCUUUUGCUUUUAUUCACUUUAAACAUGUUGAAUAGACUUUUUAAAAAGGUUUCUUACAAUAAUUACAACAUCCGUUUUUAUCGGAUAUUAAGGACAUGACAAAAAUUGUCAAGUUACAUGACUACACACUCCCGUAUAAUCCAUUAUGUGACUCGAUCUUCAUCGCCUUAGAACCCCUAAACCUCGAAACUCUGCCCCGUUGUAAGUGUUUUAAACCUGAUCACUGAUUCAAUACCCUAUUCGAUCGAUUUUAAACCCAGCAACGGAUGUCAAAGUGCUGCCUAUUUAAGGCUAUACUUUGUUAACUACGUUGGGGUUUUGAUCUCAUGAUGUAUCGUUAAAGUAUGAUUUGGGUUGAUGCACUGAUACGUGUUGCAUUGAGUUUUUAUUAGGAACUCAGGCUUAAUACCAGGAGGCUGGAGGCUGUAAUAAUCAAAACCCUAAAUCUACAAAGUGAGUCAUUCUCUUUUAUUAAAAAUGCUUUCAAAACCUUAAAUGUUUUCCAAUUGAUACUUAUAUUACAGUGAUUAAGUAUUUGUAUUCUUACUGGGAAACUACCAUCAGUAUGUGGGGUUUUGUAUACACUACUUGAUAAUCUUCACUAUUGGACAAUGGGUUAGCCAAUGAGUGAUAUGACCACAGUCACUGGAACUACCACCGAGUGACAAAUACUAUUUUAAAAUAGUUUCUUUACUAUUGGACAAUGAGUUAGCUAAUAGUAGUUUGGUAAGAUAAACAAAUGUAAAAACUCUAAAUGUUGUAACUAUAAGAAUAUGCUUUAUACAAAUGACUGAACUCACAAGUAUUUCCUGUUGAUCAAAUAUUUUUAAACGCGUUUCGGGUGACUUACUAU